rnacentral:rRNA from 1 species
AGUUUGAUCCUGGCUCAGGAUGAACGCUGNCGGCGUGCCUAAUACAUGCAAGUCGAGCGAACGGACGAGAAGCUUGCUUCUCUGAUGUUANCGGCGGACGGGUGAGUAACACGUGGAUAACCUACCUAUAAGACUGGGAUAACUUCGGGAAACCGGAGCUAAUACCGGAUAAUAUUUUGAACCGCAUGGUUCAAAAGUGAAAGACGGUCUUGCUGUCACUUAUAGAUGGAUCCGCGCUGCAUUAGCUAGUUGGUAAGGUAACGGCUUACCAAGGCAACGAUGCAUAGCCGACCUGAGAGGGUGAUCGGCCACACUGGAACUGAGACACGGUCCAGACUCCUACGGGAGGCAGCAGUAGGGAAUCUUCCUGCAAUGGGCGAAAGCCUGACGGAGCAACGCCGCGUGAGUGAUGAAGGUACUUCGGAUCGUAAAUACUCCUGUUAUUAGGGAAGAACAUAUGUGUAAGUAACUGUGCACAUCCUUGUACGGUACCUACNGCAGAAAGCCACGGCUAA